rnacentral:rRNA from 1 species
AUAUUUAAGUUGUUGCAGUUAAAAAGCUCGUAGUUGGAUUUCGGGUGGGUUGCAACGGUCCGGUUCGCUGUGUACUGUUGCGGCCUAUCUUUCUGCCGGGGACGGGCUCUUGGGCUUCAUUGUCUGGGAUCCGGAGUCGGCGAGGUUACUUUGAGUAAAUUAGAGUGUUCAAAGCAAGCUUACGCUCUGAAUACAUUAGCAUGGAAUAACACGAUAGGACUCUGGCCUAUCUUGUUGGUCUGUAGGACUGGAGUAAUGAUUAAGAGGGACAGUCGGGGGCAUUCGUAUUUCAUUGUCA